UACGUAGGGGGCUAGCGUUGUCCGGAAUCAUUGGGCGUAAAGAGCGUGUAGGCGGUCCGGUAAGUCCGCUGUGAAAGUCGGGGGCUCAACCCUCGAAUGCCGGUGGAUACUGUCGGGCUAGAGUGCGGAAGAGGCGGAGUGGAAUUCCUGGGUGAUAGCGGUGAAAUGACGUAGAUAUCUGGAGGAAUACCGGUGGCGAAGGCGGCAUCCUGGACCGACAUUGACGCUGAUGAGCGAAAGCUAGGGGAGCAAACGGG
rnacentral:rRNA from 1 species